CUAUUUUAUCUGUCUUUAUUAAUGUUUCACUAUUCUUUUAUAGUCACUUUAGUUUUAAUUUUUAAGAUUUUUUUCCUAAUCAUUUUUCAGGGAACCCAUAUCGAGUUGUCUAUUGGAAUUAUUUUGGGAAUUUCAACAAUGGCAGGUAUUUAAUAGUAGCAAAUGUUAUUCCAUUGUCUACAUAUUUAAAGCAUUUUGAUAAGUUUGGUUUAGAAGAGGGUAAUUUACUCAUUGAGAUGUCUGUCAGUUUAUCUCCUUAAUCCUAAUCUUCUGAUUCUUAGUUUUGUAUAUGUAGUGUUUUUUUCUGAGAAAUUUUCAGUACUUCAUGUUAGUUAAUGGGUAACAAUUCUGUAUCACAUUGUCUUAGGACAAGUUCUUCUGCUAAUUCAAUAUUAUCCCACAAUCUUUAAAUUUGUCUCUUAUUCGGUUAUUUAUUUUCUAGUUGCAUAGAAAAAUAAAAAAACAAAACACAAAAUUGAAAUUCUGUCUCCUUUUCUCCCCUUUUUACUAGCUUAUUCUUCAUGAUGGUAAAAUUUGGAAAUGGUUCUAUGUUUAUUGUAUAGAAAGCAUGAGGUCAAUGAGUUAGUGAAAGAAACCUUUCUUUUCCUUGACUGUCUUGAAUUCAGAGUUGUGUAUGGCUUUAUUCUUUAACUUCCAAGUGUCUGAAUACCCUGAAAAUACCAUAUGAAAAGACACUAUACGAAAGAUACAACUACAAAACACUGUGCAAAUGUUUUAGUAUUAAAAUGAAAAUGGAAACUGGCUGGUAUAACAGAAAAAAACUUAAUGGAGGUGUAGUAUUACAUUUUCAGAAUUGUGCUCUGUUUUGAACUCUUGAGAUCCAGAGCUCGCCAAUGAGUUGCUUUGGAGGUAGUUGUUGUAGUUCCAGAUCAGGGCUGUAUGGAUUUCAUAGUGAUGUACGGUCUUGAUUUUUCUGACUUUUGUGUAAUAAUUCGCUUGUCCGUUUUUCAAAUUUUUAGCUGCUGCUUUGGGAAAUCUUGUGUCAGAUUUAGCUGGACUUGGACUUGCAGGUUAUGUUGAAGCUUUGGCUUCCAGGUUAGGCCUCUCAAUUCCUGAUCUUACACCGAAGCAAGUUGACAUGUGGCAAACACGUGUUAGUACACAUUUGGUAAGUGACUUUUAUAUGGCUGUGACCAUGAAUUUGAGUAGUCAGAGCAUGAUAUGGCUCAGGACCUUGAAAACUUUGAAACUAAAACUGAUUUGAGUGAUGUUCUUAGAUAAAUUAUCCAGGCAUUGGCAAUUUUUGGAAAACAAUAAUGUUUUCCAAAAACAUUGGCUCC
rnacentral:lncRNA from 1 species